rnacentral:rRNA from 1 species
GGGGACCAUUCCACGGUUCCGCGCCGCAGCUAACGCAUUAAGUGCCCCGCCUGGGGAGUACGGCCGCAAGGCUAAAACUCAAAGGAAUUGACGGGGGCCCGCACAAGCGGCGGAGCAUGCGGAUUAAUUCGAUGCAACGCGAAGAACCUUACCAAGGCUUGACAUGUUCUCGAUCGCCGUAGAGAUACGGUUUCCCCUUUGGGGCGGGUUCACAGGUGGUGCAUGGUUGUCGUCAGCUCGUGUCGUGAGAUGUUGGGUUAAGUCCCGCAACGAGCGCAACCCUCGUUCCAUGUUGCCAGCACGUCGUGGUGGGGACUCAUGGGAGACUGCCGGGGUCAACUCGGAGGAAGGUGAGGACGACGUCAAAUCAUCAUGCCCCUUAUGUCUUGGGCUUCACGCAUGCUACAAUGGCCGGUACAAUGGGUUGCGAUACUGUGAGGUGGAGCUAAUCCCAAAAAGCCGGUCUCAGUUCGGAUUGGGGUCUGCAACUCGACCCCAUGAAGUCGGAGUCGCUAGUAAUCGCAGAUCAGCAACGCUGCGGUGAAUACGUUCCCGGGCCUUGUACACACCGCCCGUCAAGUCACGAAAGUCGGUAACACCCGAAGCCGGUGGCCUAACCCUU